rnacentral:lncRNA from 1 species
AGUGCUGCGGUGCUGGCUGGGUGGCCGAGUGGUCCCCGCAGCCUCUGGACCCAGCCAUGCUGCUCUGGAUGCAGGGCUUCGUGCUGGAGGCGGUGGCCUGCCAGGAUAACGAUGACUACUUACGCUACGGGAUCCUCUUCGAAGACCUGGAUUGCAAUGGGGACGGCGUGGUGGACAUCAUUGAGCUCCAGGAGGGGCUGAGAAACUGGAGCUCCGCGUUUGACCCCAACUCCGAGGAGCAUGGAUAGUGAUGGAUCAAUGACAGUAGACUGGGAUGAAUGGAAGUACUACUUUUUACUGCAUCCUGCAACAAAUAUCACUGAAAUGAUUCAUUUCUGGAAGCAUUCUACUUUAAUUGAUAUAGGAGAGAGUAUAGCUAUUCCAGAUGAAUUUACCGAACAAGAAAAGCAGUCUGGAGAUUGGUGGAAGCGUUUGGUGUCAGCAGGAAUAGCUAGUGCGGUUGCACGGACAUGCACGGCACCUUUAGACCGCUUGAAAGUCAUGAUGCAG